UAUUUCUUCAAUUUUCUCUCAAUUUUCUCUCUAAAUUUCUCAAAGCUCUCUUUAAUUUUGGUAAAAAAGCUAUCUUUAAUUUUUUUUUCUGAAUUAGUAUUUUUUUUAUAAUUUCGAAAAUAUUUGAUGUGUUAGCAAUGGCCGGGGAAUUAAUUCGUCUCGAUCAUAAAUAUAUCUCCGUCGAACAAAUGAAAAUGGUAAGGAUUAAUUUUAAUUUUUCAAUACUAUUUAAUAUUUUUUUCAUUUAUGUAAUUUUAAUUCAUUGUUAUUUUAUAAUUUUUUAUAACAGUCGUAGAUUAGGUGUUACAAUGCUAUAUUCGUAAUAUGUCUAGUCCUCCAUCACCAUUGAUAAAAAAUUACUUGCGGGAAGCGGGUUUUUGACACGUGGCCACUAUAGGUCGGGGGUGCAAGUUGGACCCGAAACUCAUCAGUGCAUUGGUAGAGAGGUGGAGACCCAAGACGCGCACAUUUCAUCUUUCAUACGGAGAGUGUACCAUCACUUUGGAGGACAUGCAGUUACAAUUGGGAUUGCCAGUGGAUGCGUCCACAUUCACCGAGUUCGUUCAAUCUGCUGAUUGGGGAGCCAUAUGUUAUGAUCUUUUUGGUGCGAUUCCGGAUAAUAUUUACGGAGGUCGGAUCGAGAUGGGCUAGUUACGAGACACAUUUCCAAAGUCGGAGAAUGAUUCGACAGAAGUAGAAAGAAUACAAUAUGUUCGGGCACAUAUUCUUGAGAUGAUUAGAGGUUAUCUGAUGCCGAACUUGUCACAAAACCUCGUACAUCUGAGGUGGCUACUAAAACUCGUUGAUUUUAGAGUAGCUGACGAAUUUAGUUGAAGGUCUGCCAUGUUGGCAACAUUGUACUGGGAGAUGUGCGAGGUGAUGCCACCAACUAAAGCCAAAAUCGGAGGUUGCCUAUCACUACUACAAUCAUGGGCUCAGUUUCGCUUUCUAUUUUAACGUCCUCGAGUGGACCACCCAUAUACAUUCCCACUCAUAACGAGGUGGAACCAUUCGGCGAGUUAUGUUAGAAUACCUACCGCUCUUGAAGAUAUACAGCUUCUAUUAGACCAACGGUCGGAAGCGCAAUUUCAAUGGACACCAUACGAGGAUCCAGAAAUUCGAGCAAUAAUUCCGGAUGAAUUCUUUCAAAAUCUGAACAUUUCGCAUGUGAAGGUCUCAUUAGUCAACUAUGCUACCGUGGAGAUGCACCAGACGAAUAGAGUGUUGCAGCAAUUUGAAUUUCGACAAUCGAUUCCCGUGGCACUUGAGGUGCUCGAUGAUGAGCACAAAAUUGACUUUCACUAAUCGAAUAUGAAUAUGCCAGUGUUUUGGUCGGAAUAUAUUGAAAUAUGGGAAAAUUGUUAUGAUCAUAUACCUACUCAGGAACCGAUCAUCGUUUCAGAGUUAGCGUGCGCACCGGAUUACAUGCUAUGGUUUAAGAUCCAUGACAAGCCAUAUUUACUGUCGGAAGAGCAGAGGCGUCAAUAAAUUCGUGUCGAAAGGGAACGACGGGGCUCUUUAAAUCUAAUGAGAAGGGAUGACAGCACGAGCCCAUCAACAACGCCCACACAAUCACCGGACCCAACGCCUCAAUCGACGACACCACAUCACAGCCUCUUCAGAUUAUGUCAGAAGGGAUCGCACGAGGUGUCGUCGGGGAGCUCUUCUCAUUACUAAUCCCCAUCGCCUUAUGAGAUUCAAACACAUCCGCCGUGGGUAAUGCAAACACCUUUGCCUUCUUUAUUCUAUCCAGGUGGGUCAUCCUCCCAACACCCAUAACCACAACCCCCGCUGAGAGCUGAACCAAGGAGGAAUCUAGCGCGUAACCAUCGAUGACCCCCAUAUGGCACUAAU